rnacentral:rRNA from 1 species
GAUGAACGCUGGCGGCGUGCCUAAUACAUGCAAGUCGAGCGAACAGAUGAGGAGCUUGCUCCUCUGACGUUAGCGGCGGACGGGUGAGUAACACGUGGAUAACCUACCUAUAAGACUGGGAUAACUUCGGGAAACCGGAGCUAAUACCGCAUAAUAUAUUGAACCGCAUGGUUCAAUAGUGAAAGACGGUUUUGCUGUCACUUAUAGAUGGAUCCGCGCCGCAUUAGCUAGUUGGUAAGGUAACGGCUUACCAAGGCAACGAUGCGUAGCCGACCUGAGAGGGUGAUCGGCCACACUGGAACUGAGACACGGUCCAGACUCCUACGGGAGGCAGCAGUAGGGAAUCUUCCGCAAUGGGCGAAAGCCUGACGGAGCAACGCCGCGUGAGUGAUGAAGGUCUUCGGAUCGUAAAACUCUGUUAUUAGGGAAGAACAAAUGUGUAAGUAACUAUGCACGUCUUGACGGUACCUAAUCAGAAAGCCACGGCUAACUACGUG